UACAGAGGGUGCGAGCGUUGUCCGGAAUCACUGGGCGUAAAGGGCGCGUAGGCGGUCUGGUAAGCGUGUGGUGAAAGCCCGGGGCUCAACCCCGGGUCGGCCAUGCGAACUGCUGGACUGGAGCAGAUCAGAGGCAGGCGGAAUUCCGGGUGUAGCGGUGGAAUGCGUAGAGAUCCGGAAGAACACCGGUGGCGAAGGCGGCCUGCUGGGCAGUAGCUGACACUGAGGCGCGACAGCGUGGGGAGCAAACAGG
rnacentral:rRNA from 1 species